GGAGGCAAUGCUGCUGUUUGUGCUGUGAAUGGUUAAACACUGUGUUUUUUCUUUUUAAGAUAUCUUGAAGAAAUUCAAUCCAAACCUCUUUGGCUUCUCCACUGGCAUUUCUAAGGAAACAGCUGGAUUCAACGUUGCAGAGAGAAAUGCCACAGCGCGUAAUAUGCCAGCCCAAGCACGUGAAUUAGUGGAGCUAAUGAGAAGCAGCUCGAAAAUUAACUUCAAGGAAGACUGGAAGCUGAUCACUGUCCUUGUUGGAGGCAGCGACCUGUGCCAGUAUUGCUUGGACAAGGUUUGUAUCUCUGAAUUAGGCAUGCUUAUCCAGGUAUUUGGCAGAUGACCAGCCCUGGAAAUAUAACCUUUCUCUCU
rnacentral:lncRNA from 1 species